UUUAUACCACCAUGAGUACUAAUGUGCAGGUGAUAAACCAGGCCACACAUUAAUUAUUAAAGCAGAACAGUAACCUUGCAAAAUGCUUUGAAUAUUGAUUUUGUUCUCUUUUGAUUGAGAAGAGGCCACGUAGUAAACCUUUGAAUCUUUUGACUUGCACGCCACAUGAAUCUGGAGAGUACCUUGUUCCUCUUUUUUUUUUAUAGCUUUAAAUAGAACAAAGUUGCAGCAUAGCACCCUCUGAGAAUCAUGGCUUCAGAUUGUCAUCUUCUCCUUCCUUUUCUUCCAGACUAGGUUCUUUUUGCCAUGCUUUAGAAUCCACUGUCUGAUAGAGCCUUUUGUGAACACUGUAGGUAAAAGUGCAGGCAGGGAGUUUGACAGCAAGUGCAGGCAGGAACUUUGAUAGCAGAGGCCAUUUCAUUGCUGGGAUUUGGUGGACAAGGUUACUAGGAGUACUUCCAAGAGAACAUCAAGGGUAGGAGGUAGGAGGCUUUCGGUGGUGACUGUUGUUGACUUCCAGAGCAGAUGACAUGACAUUCCACCGAUUGGUCAUACACUCGUGGAUACACAUGUAUCAUAUACGAGAUUGCGACCGUUCGGGGAUCUCCAUAGCUCCAUGGCGGUGACACCAGUAAAGAGACACUGCAAAAGAAAAACAAGAAGUAGCACUGGUAGGUCAGAGAGGCAUCAACCUUUUAGCGUCUGCUUCCCGGCUCCUCCCUUGAACAAAGUUGCUGGAUUCUUCUUCUCUCCUUUGCAGCAGGGCUUCACCUUCCUCUUGAUGUGUUUUCUCCGUUGUUGCUUCUCUCCAGCCUUUUCUGCUCCUCCCUUCGUUGCCUCUCUGCUGCCCCUCUUCACUUGUUGUAAAGAGCCUUUAUAUAGGCAACGUAGAAGAAUAAAGAUCAUGCGGGUUAACCAUAACUCUUUUUUUUGAAUUUGAAAUGAUCUUCAGAUGACGAUAACCAUUCCCAUAUUCAAACUUGUAACUGUGGGAACUAUCCACAACUUCCAGUAUGGAAUUUGAAUUUUGAAAGCUUUGAGUAUCAAUCCACGUGAUCAUGCUUCGGAGAUAAUUAAGCUAAA